rnacentral:rRNA from 1 species
CUCGUAGGCGGUUUGACAAGUCGGACGUGAAAACCUGGGGCUCAACCCCAGGACGCCGUUCGAAACUGUCAUGACUAGGGUCCGGUAGAGGUGAGUGGAAUUCUCGGUGUAGCGGUGGAAUGCGCAGAUAUCGAGAGGAACACCAGUAGCGAAGGCGGCUCACUGGGCCGGUACCGACGCUGAGGAGCGAAAGCGUGGGGAGCAAACAGGAUUAGAUACCCUGGUAGUCC